CUCACUCUCUCCUUAACAUUUUCAUAGAGGAAAAUGUACCAAAAACCUUUUAGUUAUAAUGCAUUUUGAAAUAAGUUCCUUAACCUGCAUCUGUGACACCCCAAUAGUCCCACAUCGGAUGGGAAAGGGGUUGUCAUUGGAUUUAUAAGAGACUUAAACACUAGUAAUAAUAACUGGGCUUAAGCAUUUUGGGCUGUUGGCUGGGCCCAACGAGUUAUUGUUGCUAGUGGGCUGGGUCGUUACAACAUCAUAACAAAUAAAAUAAAGUAAUGUCAAUAAUAAUAAAUAAAUAAAUAAAGGGCAUAUAUCAAAACGGGAUAUAGUUAAAGGGGCCUCCAAACAUUUUAACUUACUUUUUGUUUACUUUACCUACCUAAAACAUAUGAGAUCAAAAUAAGAUCUCAAAUUUGCAAGAUUCAACUAAUUUUCAAUGCAAUCAAAACUGAAAUUUUUUUCGAAAAAUAACUAUCUAUCUACACGAUAUUUGAUAUUAAAUAAAUUUUACUCACAACACAACUAAUUAGAAUAUAAAUAUGAUGGAUUAAGAAGAGAUGAGAUAGAGUUACCUCCUUGGAGCUCAAACUAAGCUUUACCUUUUUCAUACACAAUUAGCAAGCAAAAUCUUUAAUAUCAGAGAUAGAGAGAAAGAGGAAAAAAUAAACA
rnacentral:lncRNA from 1 species